CAUCAGCAGGAACAUAAAAGCACAUGGAUCAACUUGCUGCUGCAAUCACAUGUGCUGGUUUCUGCAGAAUUCAGCAUAGCUCGUAGUUUUGGCCCAUGAACUGCACCGGCUGGGAGAGAUCUGGACAGGGAGAAGAGGAGCAGGGGAAAAAAUGGCGAGAGAACAGAGCGGGAUGAAGAGGAGGUGGAGUGCAGAUAGUAAUGGAGCUGCUGGCAGAGUUCCUGGUUGUUCGUGGGUAUUCAUGUAGCUGGUGGGUUUAGUUAAAUGGAGCGAACAGAGGGGAGGAUGGAGGGAGAGGGGGAGGAGACGGGUGCCGAGUUUCAGCUGAACAAGAGGUCUACUUGUGCCCUUCUCUGCUGAAGCACCAUGAAGCACCACCCAGACAUGUUGAACAAAGCAAAGAGGUUCAGCUGAUCUCCAACUUGAGAAAAAAUAGCGACUGAACUCUUAUGACCCGGGAUGAGGGCUGAGACGUAGAUGGACGAUUAGGUUUUCACCAUAUCAGACCAGAACCUCCACCUCGAACUGCAGAAACCUGAAGGAAUUUUAGUAAGCAGACCGACCCUGCACAGCCGUGGUCCCUGAUGCCUCAGACUGAACUGAAUCCUGAACCAUCAUCCAUCAACAGCUGAUGGAACCACAUGGAGCAGGAAUCACUGUGGGAAACCUCUGUCCAGCUCCACAACACAGAGAGAUUCACAAGCUCAGCUGUGCAGAUCAGAAGCCUGAUGCCAACCUUCACUGGUGAUGACCACCUCUCUGCUUCUGGAGGAAUCUGGGAUGGACCGUCACACACAGGAGACUGUGGUCAGACGGAUCAGUACUUCAGAUGUUUGCUGGAAUUAAUGGAACAAAGAGGAAAAGGAUUUCCUUUCAUUUCUUAUCAAUUAUUUUAUCAUUAAUUUUUCAUUUUUAUCCUUUUUAUUAUCAUCUUAUCAUUUUAAAUAUUCAUAUUUUUU